rnacentral:tRNA from 1 species
AUAGCAGUAGUAUAGUAAAAUAUGCCUCUUUUCCAAAGAGGCGCCCUGAAGAGAUUCAGCUGCUAUU